CUCCAGACUCCUACGGGAGGCAGCAGUGGGGAAUAUUGCACAAUGGGGGAAACCCUGAUGCAGCGACGCCGCGUGAGUGAAGAAGUAUUUCGGUAUGUAAAGCUCUAUCAGCAGGGAAGAAAAUGACGGUACCUGAUUAAGAAGCCCCGGCUAACUACGUGCCAGCAGCCGCGGUAAUACGUAGGGGGCAAGCGUUAUCCGGAUUUACUGGGUGUAAAGGGAGCGUAGACGGCAGCGCAAGUCCGAAGUGAAAGCCCGGGGCCCAACCCCGGGACUGCUUUGGAAACUGUGAAGCUGGAGUGCGGGAGGGGCAGGCGGAAUUCCUGGUGUAGCGGUGAAAUGCGUAGAUAUCAGGAGGAACACCGGCGGCGAAGGCGGCCUGCUGGACCGUAACUGACGUUGAGGCUCGAAAGCGUGGGGAGCAAACAGGAUUAGAUACCCGAGUA
rnacentral:rRNA from 1 species